AGUGGGAUAACUGGGUCAAAUGAUGGUUUUGUUCCAAGUUUUCUGAGGAUUCUCCAUACUGCUUUCCAGAGUGGUUGUACCAAUUUGCAGUCCCACAAGCAAU
rnacentral:pre_miRNA from 1 species